rnacentral:lncRNA from 1 species
CAAAAGUGUUAUAAUGUUCGUUAAUUUCUUGAACAAAUUAUAUGUCAGGGUCAUAUUUAAUAAACUAAAUUUAAAAGUUUAGACCAGUGGUCUUCAAACUGUGUUUCACGGAACCCUGGGGUUCCACAAAAUGCACUAAAGGGUUCCAUAAACAUACAUAAAAUAUUCAUCAAAAUGAUGAAAAUAACUUUAUUUUGUAAUACUUUUUUAACUUUUAUUAUAAUAUAAUAAAAGAAUAUUAAAACAUUUUUCUUUAUAUGUACUACCUAGAUUGUGAAUAUUCUAUUGUUUAUGAUCCCGGGUUCCGCGAAAUAAUUUUAUAUUCAUAAGGGUUCCUUAAAUUGACAAAGUUUGAAGACCACUGGUCUAGACUAUUUACUAAGAGACACCACUUUUGAUCGGUCUGACUUUCAGCUUGAAUGGAAUCUUAUCCUCGGUUUCAUUUUCCAGACGAAAAAAUCUUUAAAGGAUUUUGGUGGUCGGUGGUACAGGUGGUCGGAGCCGAUGAGGUGAAGUGGCCAGCCCCCCGGGCGGUGGGAAAAUGCCAGAAAUUUGUCUUAAAGCGGGGGACCUCCGGUCGUCCACCGAACUGGUCUCCGACUUUAAUUCCCACCGGUAAUGCUCUCGGGGUGAAACGGUCCGGAAGGUGCCCCCAUUGGCCGCAAAAAUACGGCCGCCCCGGGCGGAUACUCUUCUCGAGAUGUUUUAUGGGAAAGUAAUCCCCUCCGUACCACCUAUCCAAGUAGGUAAAGGAGAGAAGUAGCGAUUUCCAUUUUUAUUUAAGUUAGAAAAUGUAGGAAAUGGGCCGGUAGGCGCCCAUCUACGCCUUUUAUCUUCUUCCAAAUCCCGUAUUCUUAACUUAUUUACUCUUAAAGUUCCCACC